rnacentral:rRNA from 1 species
UACGUAGGGGGCAAGCGUUGUCCGGAUUUAUUGGGCGUAAAGAGCGUGUAGGCGGCUUUACAGGUCCGUUGUGAAAACUCGAGGCUCAACCUCGAGACGCCGGUGGAAACCGUAAGGCUAGAGUCCGGAAGAGGAGAGUGGAAUUCCUGGUGUAGCGGUGAAAUGCGCAGAUAUCAGGAAGAACACCCGUGGCGAAGGCGGCUCUCUGGGACGGUACUGACGCUGAGACGCGAAAGCGUGGGGAGCGAACAGG